rnacentral:rRNA from 1 species
AUUGAACGCUGGCGGCAUGCUCUACACAUGCAAGUCGAACGGUAACAGGCCGCAAGGUGCUGACGAGUGGCGAACGGGUGAGUAAUGCAUCGGAACGUGCCCAGUCGUGGGGGAUAACUACUCGAAAGAGUAGCUAAUACCGCAUACGAUCUAUGGAUGAAAGCGGGGGACCGUAAGGCCUCGCGCGAUUGGAGCGGCCGAUGUCAGAUUAGGUAGUUGGUGGGGUAAAGGCUCACCAAGCCAACGAUCUGUAGCGGGUCUGAGAGGACGACCAGCCACACUGGAACUUGGACGCGGCCCAGACUCCUACGGGAGGCAGCAGUGGGGAAUUUUGGACAAUGGGCGCAAGCCUGAUCCAGCAAUGCCGCGUGCAGGAAGAAGGCCUUCGGGUUGUAAACUGCUUUUGUACGGAACGAAACGGCUCUGGUUAAUACCCGGGGCUAAUGACGGUACCGUAAGAAUAAGCACCGGCUAACUACGUG